GAGCCGGGACCGUUUCGGCUCCGAAGCACGCGGCCCCCUCCCGCCUCGUCGUGGCUUUUCCAAACCCUCCGAGGAGAGCGGGAUCGUUCGGUCCUUCCUGUAUUUCCGACCAUUACAGGAUCUAGAGAUGUCUACGACGCUGUUAUCUGCCUUCUACGACAUCGACUUCUUGUGCAAGAGAGACCUUGGAAGAAGGGGGAUUUGUGUUUCGGAGUUGUCCUUCUCGUUCUCCGGAGACGAGUUCUGAUCCGCACCAGCAGCACCAUUCCAUCCGGGAACGCGGCCGGACCCACCGCGAGCUUCUCCAGCGCGAAAUCCAACAUCCUGCCAAGAAUAUGCCUUGAUAACAACCUUCUAUUUUUUUUAUAUAUCUAUAUAUUAUUAUUAUAACAAAUGCUAAAACCUUCAUUCCAAAGUUUAAUAUUGGUUCCAUUGCCACCACUUAGUGGAUGUUUGGCUUAGAACAACUUUUCUUUUUCGUUGUUGCUUUAUUUGGAAGCACUCGACCGAGUUUAGUUUGUAAUUGUUGGAGAAUAACUGCUGAUUUUUUUUUUAAUUUUUUUUAGCUGUUUUGAGUUGAUUGCAUGAAUGAGUCACUGCACACAACUCAAUAUGAAACUAUUUAACUUAUUUAUUAUCUUGUGAAAAGUAUGCAUUGGUAAUUUGUUCAUACUGUAUUUAUCGGGUAUGAUGAAAAGCAAUAGAUAUAUAUUCUUUUAUUAUGUUUAAAUUAUGAUUGCCAUUAUUAAUCGGCGAAAUGUGGAGUGUGUUCUUUUCACAGUAAUAUAUGCCUUUUUGUAACUUCACUUGGUUAUUUUAUUGUAAAUGAGUAAAAUUCUUAAUUUAAGAGAUUGUAUGUAAUAUUUAUUUCAUUAAUUUCUUUCCUUGUUUACGUAAAUCUGAAAGAUUGCAUGGUUUCUGUAUAGAAAUCGGUCUCGAUGCUGUGGAAGUAGUUUGAGGAAUUUCUAUGGGAUUUUUUUAGAAUGUAAAUGGUUGUAGCCCGUCCGAGUAGAAGAAAACCAACAACAAGAGACUGACUUUUGGCAAUCAGACUUCAAAGUGGCGAACCUGACGCAGCCUCGUUCCAAGUAUAACCAAAAAGUGUUCCUCGUUGCCUAACUCCACCACUCACACUGUGAUGUAGUCUCAACGGAUGUAGCAAUAAUUGGGGUGCCCAGUAUUAUGCCUCACAGUGCCUUUUGGAGGGUCCACGCUUGCCUUAAAUACUUCUCAACCAAAUGAGUAUUUCUCUUAAUGCUUGAGGUGAUAAUUUGAAUGUAGGGAUGGGUUUUGACUACAGCAAAAUUUCACCACUCUUUAUUUUGUAAGAAUGGCGGCCAUCUUUGGAUCUGAAACUUUAUACAUGAGCAUAUCUUGUUUAAUUGAAUUCCAAAACUUGUAAUAUUUUUUUUUCUUAUGUAGAAAGUCGGGAGUUUUCCAAAACUUUCCUGGACGGUGGAUGAAUGAGCGGUAGCUUAGUUUUGUUUGUACAUAGGUACAGAUUGAGCACUAUGUACUCUUUUGGACUACUUUAACAGAAGUAUGUUUUGAAUGUAACUAAAGGAUAAGUCAACUUGAGUUGUAAUAUAUUUUUCGGGAGUCAGUUCACUACAAAUUGUGUGAGACUGUAAACUUUGUACUGUAAAUGUUUUGUAGUUCUCCCAAUAAAAUUUUUUUGGAAAAAAAAAAAAAGAAGCA
rnacentral:lncRNA from 1 species